UACAGAGGUCUCAAGCGUUGUUCGGAAUCACUGGGCGUAAAGGGUGCGUAGGCCGCACGGUAAGUCAGAGGUGAAAUCCCGGAGCUCAACUUCGGAAUUGCCUCCGAUACUGCCGUGCUUGAGGACUGGAGAGGAGUCUGGAAUCCACAGUGGAGCAGUGAAAUGCGUAGAUAUUGUGAGGAACACUAGUGGCGAAGGCGAGACUCUGGACAGUUCCUGACGCUGAGGCACGAAGGCCAGGGGAGCAAACGGG
rnacentral:rRNA from 1 species